rnacentral:rRNA from 1 species
AAAACUUAAAACACGUACUUUUAACAAAUUGUUUUGUAAAAAAUUAUGCAUUCAAUAUAAGUAUAAAGCAGUUUUAGUACCUUUUGUAUAAGGGUUUGUCUAGACUUAAUUAAAAAUUUAAUAUGCCCGAAAAAAAGUGAGUUAUUCUUAUGAUCUAGAGGGUCGUGGCAUAGCCCCACUAAACUUUAGAAUAGCGGCUAGAUACUAUACGCACUUUUUGCUAUCUGGUUAACCUAGAAAUAUGUGAAAGCAUUUUUUUUGUUUUACAAAAAGUAAAAUUUUUUGGGUUAAGCUGAAAAAUAGGAAAACUGAAAAAAAUUCAUAGACCUGAUUGUUAUAGGCUUCAUAGUGGCCACUAAAUAGAAUUAUUUUUUAAUUAUAAUCAAAAAUAGCUUUGUAGAUUUAUUAUGGCUUUCAUUAAUUUAAAUAGGUUUAUUCUUGCAUGAGUAACAAUAAUGAUAAAAUGAGUAAAAAUGUUACCUCAAGAAAGCUUUUUAUUAAAACUAAAAAACUCAGUAAUCUUUUCUAAUGAACUCGGCAAACUUUUUUCCGACUGUUUAACAAAAACAUUUCCUUUAGAUAGAAAUUAAAGGUAAGCCCUGCCCAGUGUAGCCACAAGCUAUAAACGGCGGCGUUAACGUGAGCGUCCUAAGGUAGCGCGAUAAGUUGCCCUUUAAUUGAGGGAUGGUAUGAACGGGUUAACGAAAAAAAGCUGUCUCAGAAAAGAAAAUUUAAAUUAACUUUAAGGUGAGGAGGCCUUAAUAAAAAAGAAGGACAACAAGACCCUACGAAGCUUAUUCUUUGUAGUGCUGUAAUCUUUAAGCAUUAUUAGAAUUUGAUGGGAAAUCAACAAAAAAACGUCUUUUGUUUUCAACUUUUGCUAACAAGCAAGACCUAUGGUAAUAUAGAUGAUUAGCUACUCUAGGGAUAACAGCACAAUAUUUUCCAAAAGAUGUAAUUAAAGAAAAGGUUUGUGACCUCGAUGUUGGCUUUAGAUGUCCCAGAGGUGUAGAAGCUUCUAAAGGUAGGUCUGUUCGACCUUUAAUCUAACAUGAGCUGAGUUCAGAACGGCGUAAGCUAGUUCAGUUUAUACCCUCUUAUAUAAAAUAGAUUAGGCUUGUACGAAAGGACUGCCCCAUCAAAGUACUCUUUUAAAGUUUUACUUUCUUGCACAGUAAUUUAGUAAGAUUUUUCCUUAUGAUAAAGGGAAGC